UUAGAGAAAGAGUGAGAGAGAGAGUUCUUCCCUUAGAAGUUCUCUUCCGCGAGUUGUUAGCGAAGUGCCGCCGUAGGAGCUAUUCGCGUCAAGUCCUUGCUAGGAGUCCGAGUAGAUUGUGUUCUUCUCAGCCAAGCCAGGUAACCUUAGUGGGAAAAGCCUUAGAGGGGAGCAAAGGACGUUAGGCCAGCCGGUGUAGACCUUGUCCGGGCCAACACAACGCACCAGGCCG